CAGCAGCCGCGGUAAUACGAAGGGUGCAAGCGUCAAUCGGAAUUACUGGGCGUAAAGCGUACGUAGGCGGUGAGUUAAGUCUGCUGUGAAAUCCCCAGGCUCAACCUGGGAAUGGCAGUGGAUACUGGCUCGCUAGAGUGUGUCAGAGGAUGGUGGAAUUCCCGGUGUAGCGGUGAAAUGCGUAGAGAUCGGGAGGAACAUCAGUGGCGAAGGCGGCCAUCUGGGACAACACUGACGCUGAGGCACGAAAGCGUGGGGAGCAAACAGGAUUAGAUACCCCGGUAGUCCCUGUCUCUUAUAC
rnacentral:rRNA from 1 species